AUGAGGGAAGGAAAAAGGGCCUUUAAUGGAACUACAGAAGGUAGGAGGUGUAUGAGACAAAAUUCACACUCCCACCAAAGAGGUAGAGAAAAAGCAGCUGGAAGAGGCACUUACUUCUUCAGGUUCCUGAUGAAUCUUUGUUCACAGCAUUUUGGCUCUUUGCUUCGGAUCACUUUGCACCCUCUCAGUGCUUCAGUCCUUUCCAUCCAUUUGGUGACUGUUGUCCAACCCUGCCUACCAAAGCCAUUCCAAGGUGAAUGUGGACAGCAGGUGUCAAUAGCAGAGUUUGCAACAUCCUUUGAAAGCAUUCUCUCCACUCAAAUAAUUGACAGCUUGUAUUGCAAUCACCAUUUAAUAUCAUAAAUAUUGGAAACAUUACCCUGUCAACAUAUGUAUGUUAAUAAUUGCAAUAGGAGGUUUAAGCAUACAUGUGGAGAAAGGUGAUGGAAGAACUCAAAAGUAAUAAGCACUUCUAAUUAAAACUGCCCUUAAAAUAUGACCAAGGACUUCUUUGUUGUUGAAAUAGGAAUCUAGAAGCACCUUUCAUUGUGAAAAAGAUAAAGGAAGUUUUAAUUUCAUUUGAAUGAUUACCUAGCUAAAUUGCAGCUGUUAGAAUUGAUAGUGGUAAUGGAGAAGGCAAAAAUGGUAUAGAUGUUGUGAUAAAAAGAGGGCCAAUCCUGCAGGUGUUAUUAGUAGUGCUAUUUACUGUCAUUAAAUUGAGUGGAAUGUGCAUGUUUUACACCACUAAUAUGUUUAUUCUAGCACAGAACAAAAUGUGGCUAUAUGAUGUUAAUUUUAGUUUAUUAGUUUGAUGUCUCUCUAGGCCACAAAAAAAAAAAAACUAGGAACACCUAAAGCUAUAGGAAUUAUUCCCAUCACUUUACUUUGUGUAUUUUUAUAUUCAAGAGAAAGGAUAGCAGCAAGCAAUUGGCAACAAGCUCUUACAAGAACACAUCAACAUGUCUUUGAUUUCCCUAUAAAGUUUACUAAACAGGAAUGUUGGAUGAGCUGAAGAAUGAAAAUGAACAUGAAAUGAAUUAAAAGAAAAAAGAAUGACAAUGAAAACUGUAUAUGGAAGGAAGCAUACCCACACCUGAUUAAAUACUGUGUUAAAAGUUUGUCCCUACAGCUUCUGUGAUUCCUCAUGUUCUUACCAGUGCAGUACAGAUAUUAUCACUUCUAGACAUACUCAGUCUAGUAAUAUUUGUGAAGCCCUGUGCUUCACUGGAUAAUUUUUGUUUUACCCAAAGUGAACACUCUUUUUGCUGAGUGUUAAUGAUGAAAAAAAUAAAUGUGAAGGAAACAAUAAAGAGGAUAUUUCU
rnacentral:lncRNA from 1 species